rnacentral:tRNA from 1 species
GGUUUCGUAGAUCAACUGGUACAGCGCUUGCCGCGCAGAGGCAUGGUGUUUCUGUCGUUGGUUCGAAUCCAACCGAAGCCG